rnacentral:rRNA from 1 species
UACGGAAGGCAGCAGUGGGGAAUAUUGCACAAUGGGCGCAAGCCUGAUGCAGCCAUGCCGCGUGUAUGAAGAAGGCCUUCGGGUUGUAAAGUACUUUCAGCGGGGAGGAAGGCGGUGAAGUUAAUAGCUUCACCGAUUGACGUUACCCGCAGAAGAAGCACCGGCUAACUCCGUGCCAGCAGCCGCGGUAAUACGGAGGGUGCAAGCGUUAAUCGGAAUUACUGGGCGUAAAGCGCACGCAGGCGGUCUGUCAAGUCGGAUGUGAAAUCCCCGGGCUUAACCUGGGAACUGCAUUCGAAACUGGCAGGCUAGAGUCUGUAGAGGGGGUAGAAUUCCAGGUGUAGCGGUGAAAUGCGUAGAGAUCUGGAGGAAUACCGGUGGCGAAGGCGGCCCCUGGACAAAGACUGACGCUCAGGUGCGAAAGCGUGGGGAGCAAACAGGAUUAGGAUACC